CUGGUUUUUCUGAGCAGUAGCUAACAUGAUGGAUUGAAAACUGUUUUAAAAUUGUGAUCACUUUAAAAUUCUCAGGGGGUUUUCUAGUCCUGCUUGCAGUCUAGGGGCUUUGUAGAGACGAAUGUGAUCGGGCAUAGCAGCAGUCAGUUUGCAGACAAACAGCUACAGUAAGGUUGGGUUAAUAGGAUUCAGAAUUGUAUGACUGCUGUGACAACUGUGGGGUGCAGCAUGGGCUAAUGAGCAGAGUACCUGGACUGGGAGUCAGGACACCUGGGUUUUAUUCCUGGCAUUGCCAUUGACCUGCUGCAAGUCGCCCUUCUAAAUAAGAAACAAAGGACUUGCAAUGUGAUGAAGGAGGCAUUGCUUGAUCUCCUUACUGAGCUCGUGUGCCUGGAGGGGUCUGACUUCACGCAGCACACAGCCAGAACUGGGGGCUGCAGGAUGGAAGCUCAAUGACUGCUCAUUGUUAACAGUGAGUGCUGGCACUGCAGGGACGGUGUAUUGCAGUUAAACACAAGCAGCCAACCCCCUAAUGUCAGUUCUGCUUACUCGGUUCUGCCAAAGGAGUUGCCUGAUGCUAACUACGCACUCAGCAUCCAGAUAGCGCCUGCUCCCCUGGGGCAAUAUAUUGCACUAUUCCAGGGCACUAGCAUUUCCGCAGGAGGCUGAGCAGAGUCUAUGUGGUGACCAUUGUGUAGUGGGAGGAGCACACGUAGACCCAGGACGGUAUUGGAAAUGCAAACGCCACUUGGGGCAGUAUCGACAACUCAUCCCGUCAGCUAUAUGCCUGCUCAAAGGAGAAAUGAUGCAGAAAAAAGGGGACUAUUGCAGCAGACUUUAACCCAAAAUCCUUACAUGAAAAGAAAGUGCUAGACUACAGCAGGAAAUAUCAACUGCCAGCAGCAUCUUGGACCAGUGAGCAGCAUAUUGAAGCAGGGGCAGUCACCUGUGUCAUGGUAAGUUCUGAUCUGGGAUCUUUAUGUGAAGAUGGGGAGGGGGCAGAGUUGCUCUGUAUGAAACGGACUAGCUCCUGUGGUUGAAAAUGUACAAACAAUAACCAGGGACGGCAUUGACUGAACACUACUCAGCUUUCCAUGUUUACAAGAAAUCAACACCACAUUGCGUGCUAUGCAUCGCCUGCCACGCAGUCAAUUAAGAGGAUGGGCCCAGAACUCAAGAGUACUCUCUCUUCCUGGUUCUACCUGAUGUACUAAAACAUUCCUUGGAUGCACCAGAAAUGUGUGUCUCUCAGCAGCAAGAUCUGGGCUAAGAUCAGAAGGAAAAUUGGUCACUUCAGAUAUCUCAGAAGGGGAGUUAAUGGCUAGGCACAUGGGCAGAGAGUAGUGUGCCUAUCUGACCAAUGGGUGAAGGAAGGGGAAUGACUGAUGGGAAAACAAGGUUCUCUCAUUGGCUACAGGCAAAUCAACCAAA